CCACGUCCCCGAAUGGCAAUUCCGCCGGCGACGCUGCCGCUCGCCGCGCGAACGCGACGGGCGGACGGCGAACGCCGAGCUAAGGCAUGCGCCUUGAGGUUGAGACGCUUUUGGAAAACAACUCGGGUCCGGCUACGGUUCCGGCUUAGAGGCGUUCAGCCGUUAUCGCUCAGAGGCAGCCUGGCACCACCGCUCUAUCGAGCGAGCGCGCAAACCGUUGCUCUGAUCCCGCGGUUCCUCUCGUACUGGACGAGAUAGCCGUAGCCGAGUUGACGUUGCCGACGCCCGCCUAAGGCCGCGCGCUAAC